UCAAUUCAAAAUCUCAUGAAUUCAUUGCAACACCAUAAGAGGAAGACAUGCUGCGGGAAACAAGUGAAGAAGCAUUUGUUAUUUAAAAUAUCAACAAGUAAUAUACACAGUCACGCAAAAUCAUAUGCCUGGAAAUAUAACCAUAAACCCAUGAAUAAGACCAACAAAUCUAUAUACCCAGUCGAACAACAAAUCGAAGCAAUAUACCCAGCUGUACAAAAUUAUAUACCCAGAAAUAAUGGCCCAGUCGCACCUACGAUUUCAGCCUAGAAUUUCGACGACGUCAAUGGACUAUCGGAGCUCUUCAUGACUUCACCUGCAAAAAAUAAAGCAAGAAGAAGAGCAACUAAAUGGGAGAAUACGAAAAAAAGCAAGUUCACCGUGACUUCAGUGCCCAGAUCUGGUACAACCCCGACCUUCUCCCUUGCUCCGGCUCCGGCAUGUCCUCAACACUUCUCCCCUUACUCCAUUAGUGUACCGAUUAUUGUGUAGAUUGGAAGAUAUAUUUCCAGCAUUGGAAGCGUGUCGUGCAUUUGCAAUUCUAAGUAAACUAUGCCCCACUUUACCCCAUGCCACAAAGGUUGUUAAUUGCAGUGUUCGCGGUGUCAAAGAUUCAGCUAUUGUCUUCAACUCUAUCCCAACUUAUUAACUACUACUGUUGUUAUUAUUAACAUUCCCCUCUAGUGUUGGGGAAAGCAUAAACUAGUGUAUAAUAUUAAGUUGUAGAAAGUUAUUCUAGCAACAAAUAAAUCAUGUUUGGACUGGCAAAAUGUUGCCACUUACUAAAACAUCAUUGUGUUGGAACAUUCUAUCUUUGUCCACAAAAAGAGUAAAAUAUUCAGCAAUGCGUAUUUUUCUUUUACCAA